GAUGAACGCUGGCGGCGUGCCUAAUACAUGCAAGUCGAACGAGUUCUGAUUAUUGAAAGGUGCUUGCAUCUUGAUUUAAUUUUGAACGAGUGGCGGACGGGUGAGUAACACGUGGGUAACCUGCCCUUAAGUGGGGGAUAACAUUUGGAAACAGAUGCUAAUACCGCAUAAAUCCAAAAACCGCAUGGUUCUUGGCUGAAAGAUGGCGUAAGCUAUCGCUUUUGGAUGGACCCGCGGCGUAUUAGCUAGUUGGUGAGGUAACGGCUCACCAAGGCAAUGAUACGUAGCCGAACUGAGAGGUUGAUCGGCCACAUUGGGACUGAGACACGGCCCAAGCUCCUACGGGAGGCAGCAGUAGGGAAUCUUCCACAAUGGACGCAAGUCUGAUGGAGCAACGCCGCGUGAGUGAAGAAGGCUUUCGGGUCGUAAGACUCUGUUGUUGGAGAAGGAUGGUCGGCAGAGUAACUGUGUCGG
rnacentral:rRNA from 2 species